rnacentral:rRNA from 1 species
UAGGGAAUCUUCCACAAUGGCGGCAAGCCUGAUGGAGCAACACCGCGUGAGUGAAGAAGGGUUUCGGCUCGUAAAGCUCUGUUGUUAAAGAAGAACACGUAUGAGAGUAACUGUUCAUACGUUGACGGUAUUUAACCAGAAAGUCACGGCUAACUACGUGCUAG